AGAGCUUUAUUUGCUUCGAGCAAAUAGGGAGCGAUACGACACGAAAUGAAAGGGGAAAGAGAUUGUUUAUUCUCUAUGCUGUUAAUUAAAUAAAACACCUAGUCUCAUAGCUCAGCUGGUUAGAGCGCUACACUGAUAAUGUAGAGGUCGGCAGUUCGAGUCUGCCUGAGACUACGAAAAGGAAAUUCUAGAAGUUGAGAUGUAGUUUUGUUAACUACUAACUGCUAUGUGCUAACGACUAGUAUAUGGGGGAUUAGCUCAGCUGGCUAGAGCGCCUGCCUUGCACGCAGGAGGUCAUCGGUUCGACUCCGAUAUUCUCCACUAAUUAUCUGGGAUUAUUCAGUUAAUAAACGUUCAUUGACAUAUUGAAAAAAGAUACAUUAAAUUAGAUAGAAAUAUUUAAAAAGUAAUAAAAUAAUUAUUGUUUACGAGCAAUAAUUGACUCAUUAAAAAGAAGGCUAAUUAUAUUUAUAUAGUUAGUUGGCAAAAGUA
rnacentral:tRNA from 1 species